rnacentral:tRNA from 1 species
GGGCGUUUAGCUCAGUGGUUAGAGCGGUGGCCUUAUAAGCCAUGUGUCACGUGUUCGAUUCAUGUAACGCCUA